AACCUCUCUCUCUCUCUUUCAAAACCCAGAAUCCGGCCGGCCUGCUCACCAAACCACCGCGUCGGCUGUGGUCGCCAGCGACGGCGCCGCCGUACGCGGUGGUCGAGAAUCCAAAAACUCUCCAUUUUCCCUCGUUCUUUACCGUUUCAAAUCCUAGGCCUCCGCCCAUUCAACUCCGAUUCGUCCCGAGGAGAAGAAGGCUUCAUCGGCGCACCCACGAAGGUAAAACUCCUUCUCCUUCCCUCUCUUUAUUUUAUUACUUAUAUAUAUAUAGACAACAAAACGAAGAACAGGUUGAAGAGAGAAAAAUAACAACUUUGAAAUCACCUUUAAGAACUGUUUUUUUUAUUGCUUUUCUUUCUAGGAUUUCAUACAAUAUUCGUCCCCUUACAGAUUUUUUUUUAAAUUGGCCUUUAUAGUGCCGAAAAAUCCAAAAUAAAUAAAAUUUGAAUUUUUUACAACUGUUAUCUAUCCUUUUUUUUGUUUGGUGCUACGUUGUUCGUCUUUCGUUUGUUGCAGGUACGGCCUGGAGGAGAAGAAGCACGUACGCGCGGAGGCGUAGCACGCUCGGGAGGGGGCCCUGAU
rnacentral:lncRNA from 1 species